rnacentral:lncRNA from 1 species
UUUUCUGCAUUUAUUAUUCUUGUGUUUUAUUUUUCGCAGUCUUAGGCUAAUAUAGUUUGGUGUGACUUCUUAAAUGCAUUUUAGAUAAAACGACAACUACACAGAGUAAAAAGAAUAAUGCAUUAAACAGUUUAUUCAAUUGUGAGAUCAUAAUACGGAAAAUACAACAUAAGGUUAAUGUCUUAAGUAUCAAAUUCAAGAAGAAACCAAUUCAAACUAACAUUAAUCUCCUAAACUAGACUCUCCACUGGACCAUGUUGUAGAAAUCAAGACAAACCGGGCACUAUGAGACGUGAAAACACCCGAUCCCAUUCCGACCCUGGUUCUGUCCAAUGCCAGUUGCUCCGGCCUACCCCUCAUUCUCACCUGACUCACACUGAAACAUUUAAUGAGCAUAACUCAGUAACUAACAAAUAGACAAAAUAAACAAAGACUUCAGUUAAAGGCUUUAAGCAGUAUGUCUGCUAUAUGAGAAUAAUUGUGCUAUAUGACAUGUAUGCCUCAAUUAAAAAGAAGAAGAAAUCAAAAUCCUUUUAUUCUUUACUCUUUCCUUUUCUUGCUCAAAUCCUUGGUACUCGCCUCACGGAAGACAAUGCUGUUAACCUCUUGAACAAGUAUACAUUCCUUGAAACCUUUAAAAUUUUGGCAUGGUCCAUUCACCAUGAACCGUUCCUUUUACCUUUCAUUGUAUUUUUCUACCAUAGGCAUUUCCGUAGGUCCUGAAACCAUUUUAACAAAUUCUAAAGUCAUUUCCGAGAAUUCCCUAUUACGGCGAAACAUUUACUACUUUCUAUCAACAAGAAAUCCUGUAAAACAUCUUUUGUCUAACAAAAACUAUGCAUAUGCUAUGCACUUUACUAUGAUGUCAUGCUCUUAAUGUAAUCGCUACUUGGAGCAGCCUUAAUAACACAAUUCAGAAAACACAAACAAACUUUCCAAAUCUGUACAUAAGCAGCAUGCAACUUGGUGAUAACCGGUCGUUAACAUAACAUGAAACUUACAAGUCUCCUUGCUAUCCCAGACAACGAGUCUAGUUACUUACCUUGAGUGUCCAAAGCUCACAUACCUUUCACAGAGUAAGUUUAACCUAUAAAAGUGCACUCAUAUCAUCAUAUAAGUGAAAGGACCCGCCCCGAAUUUUCUCAAAAUUCGAGACGAACCCUUUGGAAUUCCUGACAUCACCCCGAUGCCAGGCCCACUUACUAAAAACCGAGACUUCCUGCCGAAAUUUCGGCAGAGUCUCCCCUAUAAUUUGGACAUUUCCCAAAAUUUCAACCUGCAUAAAAACACAUUUAAUAUUUCCAACUGGCAGCAUGCACAAUAUAAUUUCAUGCAAUUCACACAAAUGGCCUUUGGCCUUUCAAUAAUUCCUAUCCAACUACCAAACCAUUCAAAUACCAAAUAUGACUAACAUUUAGUCUGCGGCUGCACCUAAUAACCUUAGGCUGCCUACGUACCCUCCUUGAGGGAUCAAGCCACACGUAGUUCUUCCCUAAAACCCAAUUCCACACUUGGGCGAUACCUUAUUUCAUUUCUUUGUAUUUCAUAUACUCUCCCCAUACGCCGGUACAACCAACGCCACGUAUGGGGCCUGUCAACACGCCGGAUAGCCUACGCCACGUGCGACCAUGCCAUACUAUCAUUAUAUCUCCCCAUACGUCGGUACAACCAACGCCACGUAUGGGGUCUGUCUCAACACCGGAUAACCUACGCCACGUGAGACCUGCACAUCAUAUCACAUAACUCCCCAUACGCCGGUACAACCAACGCCACUUAUGGGGCCUGUCCCAACGCCGGAUAACCUACGCCACGCGGGACCUCAACAUCAUAUCACAUAAUCUCCCCGUACGCCGGUACAACCAACGCCACGUACGGGGCCUGUCUCAACGCCGGAUAACCUACACCACGUGAGACCUGAACAUCAUAUUGCAAAUCUCCCCAUACGCCAGUACAACCAACGCCACGUAUGGGGUCUGUCCCAACGCCGGAUAACCUACGCCACGUGGGACCUAACUUUCACUUGGUGAUACUUGUAGAAAUUCCAAAGUCCGAGGAGGUACCUAGAGUAGUGCGUAUAGCACUCCAAAUUGACAUUCUAGACUCUGUUGUACCCUUGUACAACCACAUAAUUUAUAUAAAUAAUUCUAAUAUUGUGUAACCCUCCACAAUCAUCUAGCACCCGAUAAUCCCCUCUAGAAAGGUGAGAUUACUCCGGGAGACUCACGGUCAACCAAGGGUCAAACUACCCUAACCCUGGUCAACCGGACCUGCAGAACCCCCGACUUCCAAUUUCGGAUCCGAAAGUCCCUAUGGGUUCUACCAGGUAUAGGACACUUGUCCUGCAAGUUUGGUUCAGAUCGGACGGUCGGAUUUCUCACGAUCGCACGAUCUGACAGUUAAUAUAAAAUAUAAACUUUAAAUUAUUAUUCGGAACAUCCGGGGCUCCGAUUCAAAAUCCGUGAAUUCCUACACGAUCAUAGAAAUUCCUAGAUUCAUAUAUAUUAAAUUCGGGACCAUCCAACGGUCCCAACCUAUCGAACCCGGAUAACGCGCAAUAUGCGAAUAUCCGUUCGAUAGUCAAACGACGUCCGAAUUGAGAUCCGCGAAAUCCUACGCACUCGUGACAACCUAAGGAUCUCAUCGGAACACAGUGCUAGUUUUCUACAGUGCCCACGCGCCGCCGCACGCGCCGGCAGCGCGUGGGUGCCCAAAGCGAUAACGCUUCGCCGGAAAAUCUCAAAAUCACGGCUCCAAAUUCCUACCCCAGGUAUAACACCCUAUUUGGAGCCACUUUUGUUCUUGGACCUACCCCAAAAAGUGGCCGGAAAUGGCCGAUCACGGCGGCCGAAGUUUCGGCCGAUUUUCAAUUCGAAAAUCGAGUGAUCUAGAGAUCGAAUCGAUCAAAACCCAACCAACAGGCAGCUAGAACAGCUCGAGAGGUUCAAGAUCCAUACCUGGGUCGACGGAAAUGGUGGCCGGAGGAGGGAGAUCGACGGCGUUGAAGUUUCGACGACCUCCCGGCGGUUUUCUGUAUUUUCCGGCCAGCAACGGCCGCGUCGCCGGCGGGGAAUGGUCGGGGAAGGAAGGGAACGUCGUCCCGGUCAGUUUGGUACCGGCCUCGCCCACAGCCGUGGUCGGUGGCCGGAGAUACAAGGAGAGAAAGAGAGAGGGCCGACGGGAGAGAGAGAGAAGUCGCGGGAGAGAGAGAGAGAGAGAGAGAGAAAAAAAAAAU